ACCCGACCUCCUCCACCAAGGGGCUGCCAUGAGCGUCCAAAGGAGCUUUGUGGGCCCGGGCGCGCACAGCACCUGGACGUGCCACUGCCCGGUGCGCAUCCGUGUCAGGAAUUGUCACAAGGACGCACAAGCCAGGAGCCGCUGCAAGGCUGUGGAUGAAGCUUUCUGGUCACAAAGCCCCUUCUCCUGGGGCUGCUGUGGGAGUAGCUCUUGGCACACACUUCCACCCAGAGACUUCACAUCCCAGCUGACGAGGGCACGGUCCUGAGAGCUGGCAGCAAAGAUGGGGUGGGGUGGAUGCUGCUCAGUCAUUGGAGCAGACGGAGUGUCCCAGGAGUGGGCGGAAAAUGUCUCUUUAGGAGCCUGAGGUUGGCCCCUGGUGCCCGGAGCCUGAGGCCCCACAACCUCCCCAUGUCCUCCUCCGUUCCCCACGACUGCUGGUGAGAAGUCCUGCCUGGAGUUUUGCAGGGACCCCUCCCUGGACCCAGAAGGGUCCGCGCUUCAACACUUUCAGAGAUCAUUUAGUCCAUCCUCUUUGACAAACGGGGACCAGGGAGGUAAGGAACUGCCCAGGGUCACACAGGAACCAGACCACACAAUAUCACCACCUCCCUCUGCCCAGCACACUUAAAGCCGCGUGCACCGCGCUCACCAGGAGCAUGUCAGCACCUCCUUGAGCGUCCUGCGGAGCUCCUGGCUGUGGAAGGCGUAGAUGAGGGGGUCGAUGAUGGCAUUGCAGAUGAUGAGGGCGAGAAAGAGGUUGAAGUUCUUGAAGAUGCAGCCGCACGUGGGGUGCUCGGGGCAGAGGACGAUGAGUGUGAGAUGCAGGAAGAAGGGGCCCCAGCAGAGGAAGAAAAUGCCCAGCAGGAUGGUGAGGGUGACAGCGCCUUUAAGGCCAAAGCCCUGGUGGACCGGGCGCUGCCUCUUGUGGAGCCGGGCGAUGCCCUGGGCGUGCUGGCAGGCCCGGGCCAGCAUGUGGACGUACAGCACGGCCAUGAGCACCAGCAUAGCCAGGAAGAAGACCACGAGGCACAGCAGGACGGCCACGUGGUCGUAGUAGGCGAUGAAGAGCGUGCUGAAGACGACACUGGCCACCCAGAUGGCCGCAACGGCUCGCCGCGCCCGCGGCAGGGUCACGAUGCUGUGGUAGCGCAGUGCGUAGAAGAUGGAGAUGUAGCGGUCCACGGCGAUGGCGCCCAGGAAGCAGAGGCUGGACAGCAUGGAGCUGCAGGUGAUCACGUCAAUGACAUUGUCCAGCUGCUGCAGCACCGCAGCCCGGGCCACCAGUGCACCGGCCUCCAGCAGGAGGAUGACGGCCGUCUCCAGCACGUUGCUCCCGCUCACCAGCAGGUCCGACAAGGCCAGGCAGCAGAUGAAGCAGUACAUGGGUGAGUGCAGGUUCCGGUUCUUGGCGAUGGUGGCCACCACCAGCGCGUUCUCCACCAAGCUCACCAGCCCCAGGCUGAGGAAGAGCCCGUCAGAGAUGGACACCUCCAGGCACCGGGCUCCUGUCUGGUUGGCAGCCAGCCCCAGCUGGGGGAUGGCUGUGGGGGUGGAGUUGAGGGAGCCCAGAAGUCUUCUCUGGGAUCCCUGCACAGCCAUAGUCCUGUCCAGGAAGCAGGAAGGAGUCGUUGGAGGCCUCCAGGUCCCCACAGUUCUUCCCCUCCAGGUGUCCUGCUUAGUUCAUGGUGCUGCCAGGGGGCCUUGGGUGUCCCCCAUGCCUGCCUCCUUCCAUCUGGGCACCCCCAGAUCUGCCCUCACACCCUCUCCCUGGCUGGACAGGUCAGCCCAGGCAUGGCCCAGCCAGUCCAGACACCUCCUGGCAUCUACCGCCUGGGCUCAGGGAUUCUCACAACCAAGCCUGGUCCUCAGCUCCCUCCCUGCCUCUUCCCUGGUGGCUGCUGCUCAGGUCCCCAGGACAUUUCGACACCUCUGGACCGUCCUGGCCUCUGUCUCCUGCCUUCCUGGGCCAGGGCUGCGCUGAGGUCCUGGGAAGAAUGGAGCUUUUCUCUGCGUUUUAAAAAGUCGUUCUCAGAGCCCCUCCCACUGAGGGCGGCCACAUGCCGGGGGCGUGAGCACCCACCAUGGCCCGGCCUGCCACCAGGCGGCGUGCAGGACCCAGGGGGUCCCUCACACCGCGGAUCUCCUUUACGUUAAAAAACACCACAGUCUGUCCUGGUCACCAGGGCCCCCACCUGGCCGCCCCUCUAGGAGUCCGGAGCUUCCCCGGGACCUGCCCUCUCCAGAGGCCCCACCCUUCACCCCUCCCCUCGUCAGCAGCUCAGGGAGGACAGGGGUCCCCUCUGCUCUCAGCCAAAGCACGCAUGGAGCAGCAACUCAGCUGUCAACGUUCACGGCAGAUUUGGGGGCUGGACCAGGGAGAACUUUCCAAUAAUUAAAGUUCUGGAAACUGAGUGAGCCCUGCAGGAGUUUGCACAUCGCGCGGGGUGAGGGGGCUUCCGGCCAGGGCAGAGCGUGAAAGCGUCCAAUGCUAGUGAGCCCUGGAGAGGUUGGUGUUUUCAGGCAUCUUGUAGAGCCUGAGGCCACUCUGGCGCCUGCCCCCAAGGGCCCAGCCUCGCCCAGCCAGAGUGGCGACCCCCUCAGCUGCAGCCCUGGGGCUGUGGGGGUGUCGCUUCCUGGGAGCGGACCGGCUGGGGGCACCCUAGUGAGGUCUUCAGGGACCCUCCAGUCAUCUCGUCGCUCAUCCUCACAGGGGCACCCGGGACGCUGCUCCCGCCCUCCCCGGGCGGCGCGCCAUUUCCGCUGCGGAAGGCACCACAGGCCCUGCACCAACAGCCACAUCAAAGGCAGACCUCUCGCCUCCAGCCGUCGCACGUGGUGCUCCGCAGGCCGUUCACAGCAGUCGGGCGUGGCCCCGAAGCCCAGCAGGGACGGUGGAGAGGGGCCCUGGCACCCACUGCAGGCAUCUUCCUGGGUUCACUCCAGGGCGUUCCCAGCACUUCCUUGCUGAAGACUGCGUCUGUGCUGAAGGGUGGAAGCGGGAGGGGGAUGGAAUUACUCGUCCCAUUUACAGCUGCAGGAAAGGAGGCAACGGUGCAGGCACCGCAUCAGGGUUUUCAGUUUUGUGUCUGCGAUGUUCGAGUUAAAAUCCAUCCUGUCUCUCGCCCAACUGCCAAACUCUGACCAUGAAAUGCUCACACCACUCACAAGCCACCUCCAUGUGUGUGAGGACAUUAAUAUUUUUCAUAUUUACUGGUACAGUAAAUACUUGUUACAACCGCAUUUUACAAUUUAUAAAUCUUUAGUUUUGCUUUAAAAUUUUUUAUUAUUGUCAGCCAUGGUGGCUCAGGGCUGUAAUCCCAGCACUUUGGGAGCCCAAGGCGGGUGGAUCACCUGAGGUCAGGAGUUCGAGACCAGCCUGGCCGACAUGGAGAAACCCCGUCUCUACUAAAAAUACCAAAAUCAGCCAGGUGUGGUGGUGGGUGCCUGUAAUCCCAGCUGAGUCAGGAUAAUAGCUUGAACAUGAGAGGCGGAGGUUGCCGUGAGCCGAGAUUGCACCAUUGCACUCCAGCCUGGGCAACAAGAGCAAAACUCUGUCUCAAAAAAAAAAAAAAUUAUUAUUGCCGGGCACAGUGGCUCACCCCUAUAAUCUCAGCACUUUGGGAGGCUGAGGCAGGCGGAUCAUGAGGUCAGGAGUUCAAGACCAGCUUGGGUAAUAUGGUGAAACUCCAUCUCUACUAAAAAUACAAAAAUCAGCCAGGCGUGGUGGCGCACGCCUAUAAUCCCAGCUACUUGGGAGGCUGAGGCAGAAUUGCUUGAACCCAGGAGGCGGAGGUUGCAGUGAGCCGAGAUCACACCACUGCACUCCAGCCUGGGAAACAGAGAUACAGUCUCAAAAAAAAAAAAAUAUAUAUAUAUAUAUAUAUACAUAUAAUUUUUAUGUAUUUAUUUAUUUUGAGACAGUUUCACUCUGUCGCGCAGGCUGGAGUGUAGUGGUGCAUUCUUGGCUCACUGCAACCUCCACCUUCUGGAUUCAAGCAAUACUUAUGCCUCAGCCUCCCAACUAGCUGGGACUACGGCACCCACUACCACACCUGGCUAUUUUUUGUAUUUUUUGUAGAGAUGAGGUUUCACCAUGUUGACCAGGCUGGUCUUGAACUCCUGACCUCAGGUGAUCGGUCCGCCUCAGCCUCCCAAAAUGCUGAGAUUACAGGGAUGAGCCCCCACACCCCAUCUGCUUUAAUUUUUUUUUUUUUUUUUUUGAGACGAAGUCUCACUGUCACCCAGGCUGGAGUGCAGUGGCAUGAUCUUGGCUCACGGUAGCCUCUGCCUACUGGGUUCAAGUAAUUCUCAUACCUCAGCCUCCUGAGUAGCUGGAACUACAGGCGCGUGCCGCCACACCCGGCAAAUUUUUGUAUUUUUUUUAGUAGAGAUGGGGUUUCACCAUGUUGGCCAGGACGGUCUUGAUCUCCUGACCUCAUGAUCCUCCCGCCUCCGCCUCCCACAGUGCUGGGAUUACAGGCGUGAGCCACCGCGCCCGGCCCUAAAAUGUUUUAAUUGAGGUACAACAUACAUGAAAAUGCACCAGUGAUAAAUAUGCAGGUUGACGGAUGACAGACCUGAACCAGCCACAUAAGCAGCACCAGACCAACAGACACAGCGUUCCCACCCGGACGGCUCCAGCGAGCCGCUGCCAGCCCAUCUGGCCCAUCACGUGAAUGGUGUCCCAGUUCACUCUCUCUGGCUGAGAUUCGCCUAUGCCGGUGGCUGUAACCGUCUGCCUCAGACCGUGGUGUCCACGGCGUGAACAGACCACGUCUGGGUGGCUUCAGACUCCCUAUCAACGAUACCGUCUGAUGGACACAGGUGCGUCUGUGGAUUGCCACCCGGGGGACAUGGGCAGGGACCUCUCUUCAGCUUUGGGAGACUUGGUCAAACCAUCUUCAAAUCGGCAGGCCUGUUUCUGUUCACACACGCAGCCCCAGGCUGCUCAGAGGAGAGAGCGCGCCCUGCCCACACCACCACAGGACCUGGUAUCCGGCCACAGCCACAGAGCCUCGGCCUCAGCCCAGCCUUUUGCCUCCCAUGACCUUUGCCCCCUCACGCUGUGCUUCCAGCAUGAGCACAGGGGAGAGAAGGGUCCCAAGGUGUGAGAAGGCCAAGCCUCUGCCUCGGGAAGGAAGACGGCUCCACUGGUGUGAGGGCCGUGGCUGUGUCCCUGCCCCAGGAGCACCCCCGACGUCCACAGCACCUCACAGACCCAGACCCAGAGCCCGCUCACCUCUGGCCAUGAACCAGUGAGCAGCCCCUGCCCCAGAGCACUGUCCCCUCACAUUUCAAGGACGUUCGUGUUUGCAGCUCCACAAUGAGGCCUUUGAGACGGACGGCGGUUAACCCCAGCCUCCACUGCUACCCCCCAGCCCGGGACUUGAAAGGGCAUGAGAACUGGGCAGCCUUUUUCGUGCCAAGAUGCAGCUGGAGGGCAUCGGAAGUGGGGUGACCCUGCCACAGGACUCCCACUGUGGUUCCUCACUGGAUGUGCCUGUCGGGGCUUCGUGGGAAGAUGAGGCACAGCCGAGCUGCAAAAAGUCAACUUUUUGAUGUGUUAUGGUCAUGGGGGAGAUAAAUUAGCCUCGGGAUGAUCUGUGAUUAGAUGACAUCCUACAGCUAAUCAUAUCUCGAUUUUGGUCUCUUAGUGCCCCUGGAAACACUGCAUGCUGAGUGGCCGGAAGACACGUGGGGCUGGCCCAUCCGCUCACCAGGGUCCCCGCCACAGGCAGAGGCACCGUUCCUGCAGAGCACUUUCCAUCCAGGUGUUUCUGGACCAGCGACCCACGAGGAGAAUGAAGACAGACGUCUUCCUGCGUUUAUUCAGUGUCUGGCAUCCAGGGCCUGCAACACACACACAGGCACACACACACACACAAAUGUGCACCCACACACACAGGCACACACACACACAAAUGUGCACCCACACACACAGGCACACACACACAGGCACACACACACAAAUGUGCACCCACACACAGGCACACACACAAAUGUGCACCCACACACACAGGCACACACACACACAAAUGUGCACCCACACACACAGGCACACACACACAAAUGUGCACCCACACACACAGGCACACACACACACAAAUGUGCACCCACACACACAGGCACACACACACACAAAUGUGCACCCCCACACACAGGCACACACACACACAAAUGUGCACCCCCACACACAGGCACACACACACAGGCACACACACAAAUGUGCACCCACACACAGGCACACACACACACACAAAUGUGCCCCACACACACACAGGCACCCACACACACAGGCGCACACACACACAAAUGUGCACCCACACACACAGGCGCACACACAAAUGUGCACCCCCACACACAGGCGCACACACAAAUGUGCCCCACACACACAGGCACCCACACACACAGGCACACACACAGGCACACACACACAAAUGUGCACCCACACACACAGGCACACAUGCAUACAAGUGUGCACACAUACAUACGUGCACACACACACAGGCACACAUGCAUACAAAUGUACACACAUACAAAUGUACACACAUACAUACGUGCGCACACACGUUUACCCACACACGCGUGCACAUACAAAUGUUUACCCACACACGUAUGCGCACACACAAUGUUUACCCACACACGUGCACACACGUGCACCCACACCACAUGCGCACACACACAGGCACACACAAAUGCGCACCCACCCACACACGCACACACACACACAUCUGCUCAAUGUGUGCCCGAGGGCUGCGAGAGGUAAAACAUCUCUGUGGCCCAGGGAGUGGCCUGUCCAGCUGCGGCCACAGACAUGGAGGUGGGGGUCACCGCCGGACCAACAGUCCCACCGUGGUGGGCUCCAGUACAGCUCCCCAGGACAGCUGGACCCACAGCUGAUCUCAGCCCUUGGUUCAGGGACCAUUUCCUUUGAACUUGGGGGUGGGGGUGUGGGAGGUGGCAAGCAGGGUUUCUCGUGGGCUCACCGUGGUGCCUGCAUUGAAGGCUUUGGGGGGUUCUGGCUCAGUGGAAAAGGGCCCGGCUGGUGAGCCACGCUGCCUGUGGGCACCCGGGGAGCCACGUGCGCCUCAGCCUCUCGCUGGGCUGAGCAGGGCCAAGGGAGGAAACAGGACAGCAUUCCCCACAAUCAUGGCAGAGGCUACGCCCUCAAAACAGUCUUUCAGAUCUCACGGUCAUUGGAAGUAGGCUCAGCUGCAGGUCAUGACAUAAACCCCAGCACCACUGCCAAAGUGUCAGUGAUCCAGCCACCUCUCAGGACAGCAGGCCUGGGCUCAGCCUCUGCUGCAUUGUCCCUGGAACACCGGCUCUUCUCUGACUCCCAACCGUAGGGCGGCUGCUGCAGCUCCAAACAUCACAUCCCCUAUUUGGGUGGACUCAAGGCAUCUGGAAUGGAAGAGGCAGGGGACCCAGGUCUCCUUGCUAGCCUGUCAUUUUCAGAGAAAAGACCCUGAAGACUCUAGCAGACUCCCGCAUCUCGAUGGCUGAAGCUCACCACGGACCACCCUGGCUGUGGAGGGUGGGGACCUAGAGCAGACUGGGGUUAUCUCCCAACCAUCUUCCCUGGAGAUGAGUGCAGAUCCCCCAUGGAAAAAGGGGUGGGUGGGACACCAGGAGGACCAGCCUGUGCUCCCCACAGGCUCCUGCUGACCACAAACAUCGUUCACUCACUGCAGAGAGGAACGAGGCCGCAGCACCAACUCCCCGCCCCCAUGAUCUCUUCCUGCAGAGCGUGGGGCUAUCACAGCUGGGACCUCAGGGCACCGCUCCUAGAAAUGGCCAGCACAGGGCCAGGGCUGCACCCUCAGGCCCACGUCUGAGAUGGGCACACGUGGCUCAGCCCUCGGGCCAACUCUUGUCAUGGACACUGGGCCCUCGUCGUCCUGGGGAGGGUCCUGCACCCUAAGCUCCCGCCCAGGAAAUGCUGAGCAGAGUAAGGAGACACCAGGAACUGCCAAAAGGAUGAACUCACAGGCCUCGGCGAGCCCCAGGUUAGACGAUUACACAGUGAUGGGCUUUCUGGGAGGUGGGUCCACGGACCAGUACCUAGCUGGGGCUGGAACAUGUUUCCUGCCUCACUGGCCGCCCUAGAGCCUCGGGCAGCCCCUCGUGUCUGCUGCCUCCUAAGGGUAAAAGAUUAGGGCGGUGAGGGGUGCCAGGGGACAGGACCCCUGCUGCAGCCCUAACACCUUGGUGUUCUCGAUCCUUCCAGAACCACGCUGGCUUCUGAUGCUGUCUGGCUGCAGCCUCCGCCCCUCCUGCAGCUGCAGCACCGUGGGGCCGUGGGAUGCACGGGUUCUGUGCACCAUCAGUCAACUGUGCCAGGACCUGCUCCAGCUAAGCCCUCCCCCAAGACUGGGGUCUUGGUCCGAGUGGCCCAUUCACCCUCAGACCGACUAUCCCCUGAUCUUUGCUACAUGGGCCCUCAGAGCUUCCCUGGGCACUUCUCUGCAAAACAUGCUUCUGGGGCUUCGCCUUCAAUUCUGGGCACUGCCCUCAAGUUCUCUAAUAAAAUUAUUUUGGCAGAGCCAGGCGCGGUGGCUCACAGCUGUAACCCCAGCACUGUGGGGGGCCAAGGCGGGCGGAUCAUGAGGUCAAGAGAUUGAGAGCAUCCUGGCCAACAUGGUGGAACCCCGUCUCUACUAAAAAUACAAACAUUAGCCAGGCGUGGUGGCGGGUGCCUGUAGCCCCAGCUACUCGGGAGGCUGAGGCAGGAGAAUGGCGUGAACCCGGGAGGCGGAGCUUGCAGUGAGCCGAGACUGCGCCACUGCACUCCAGCCUGCGCGACACAGUGAGACUCUUGUCUCAAAAAAAAAAAAGAAAAUUAUUUUGUCAGAUUCAACAGAUAGUGGCAUCCAGCCAAAGGACCCCAACAUCUCCACCCCACUUGCUUGGAGGAACAAGACUGAAGGCCGGCUGCCACAUAGGGGCCUCUCUGCUCCAGCCCUGCCCUGAGACCCUCUACCAACAAGGCACGCAGCUCUGUUGACGAACUCCACAGCAAGUUCAAGGAGGACGUGCACCCAGGGCCUUGGCAUUCAGCAGGGACCUGCACUGAAGACCCCGUGGGGCCCCUUCUCCACCCGUGCCCAGAUCCUGGGAGCACAGGAAGCAUGGGGUCUGGGCCCCACCUCACCCACAAGCCACUGGGAGGAGAAUGGACUGAGUGUGAUUCGAAUCCGAGGGCAUGGGACGGCGCUCAGUGCCUGCGAAAGGAGAAGGUGCGGACGGCAGAGCGUGACCCAUUUACAUUUAUAGGAGAAACAGUGGACCAGGGAGCGACACACUCAGCUUCCCUACUUCAGGCAACUGGCCGACUCCGACCAACAGAGAAAUCGGGAACAUCAUCAUACGGCUUUUCGGUCACCUCUGCGGACGCUCAGUCCCACUCCCCCUCCCCCUCAGCGUCGUCCUCGUGCGGCGCCUCCAGGUCGUUGAGGUGGAAGUUGGCCAUCAUGUCGCGCACAGCCAGCAUCAGCCUGUUCAGGCCCUGGUUGCGGUUCAGACCCCCAGCCACUCCUUCCUCGGGCCUCUCCCCCUGCAGCAAGGGGACAUGUCUGAGAAGGGGGCUGUCUGUGCUGGGACUAGGGGCCCGGGGCCCAAGCAGGAGGCACUGUGGAGCCCGAGGUGGCCCUUGCCCCAGCACCGGACCCUGAACCCUCCCCAGGUCCCUGUGAGGAGGAAGCUCUCAAAACCAAAUGCCGUGUCUAGACCAAGCCAGGCACAGAGUGGGAUCAAGCCGGCUGACUCACGGCCCUGCAUCUGCUACCAUCUGGGCAGGCCCCAGUUUCCCCGGCAGAAUGGGCACCCCACUGGCACAAUGCAGCCUUGGUCCUUCCCUGCUCCCUGUGCCGGCUGGCACAGUCCUGGUUCAAGGAGGCUCCAGGCAUUCGCACUGGAAUGGAUAUGCCCGCACCCACUGGGGAGGCAGGGGCUGGGACGAGCUCAACCUACCUCCAUGGUAUAGUUUGGCAACAGUGACCGGAAGAAGAGAGCAAUGGUGUUUCCAUGGCUGAUAGGACUUAGCCUGAAAGAAAGUCAAGAAAAGUCAGAAACGACACUGAACUGAGACUCGUGGGACCCAACCCGGCUCACGGGGCUGCCUGCCAGCUGCCUCCCUCGCAGGGACACGGAGGGGCCGCCAGGGGGCAGAGCAGCAGCAGCUGAGCACAGGCCCUGGAUUCCCCGGGUGGCCCGUGAGGCUUCCUCAUCAGCUUAGGGUGGGGCUGUGGACAGCGGGAACAGGAUGAGGGAGACCAACUCAGCUGAGGCAGGCGUGGCGUCCGGAGCGAGGCUCCCACAGCCAUCCUCGGCCACUGCACAGGUGCCUUGCUUUUCAGAAAAGCUGCAGUUUCAACGUCUCCUUCAGCACCCACUCCUUACGCAAAGGCAGAAGCUUCCAGGGCCUGCGUUAAGCGGAGACCCUCACGGUGCGAAGGGCUACCGGCCCGGCUCUACAGGACGCUGAGCGGCCAGGCCUCAGGAGCUCUAGGGAGGGCGAAAGCCUGGGCUCCACAGCGGAGGGAGGCAGCAAAGAACCGCGAUUCCUCAAUGCUGCAACACCCUGCCGGCAGGGAUAAUCACGACGACCGCUGUGCGGGUGACGGGGCCUGGGUAAGGCAAGUACUUUCCAGCCCAGAAGGAAAAGGUAAAAAGCCUUUCAAUGACCCGGAUUCUGAAAGCCAGACACACCGGCCGCCUGGCAGUUGGCCCUCUUGCGCCGCAGCCCUGCUCUCCCGGUCUGGCCAUGGGGCUUUUGUUCUCUCAAUGUGCCGUGUGCUCUGCUCCUGGCACAGGGCCUCGGCACAUCGUGACUCUGCUGGGGAACACAAGGACCCUCUCCCCUGAGCCUGGUGAGGGCACAUUCAUCCUCUCCGUCUCAGCACAGCCACCAUCCUUCCUCCAAACACCUUACUGGAGGAUUUUUUUUUUUUUUUUUUUUGAGAUGGAGUCACUCUGUCACCCAGGCUGGAGUGCAGUGGCGUGAUCUCAGCUCACGGCAACCCCCUCCUUCCGGGUUCAAGGGAUUCUCCUGCCUCAGCCUCCUGAGUAGCUGGGACUACAGGCACAACCCACCACGCCCAAUUUUUUUUUUUUUUUUUUUUUUUGAGACGGAGUCUUCCUCUGUCGCCAGGAUGGAGUGCAGUGGCACGAUCUCCACUCACUGCAACCUGUGCCUCCCGGGUUCAAACAAUUUUCCUGCCUCAGCCUCCCAAGUAGCUGGGACUACAGGUGUGCGGCACCACGCCCAGCUAAUUUUUUUGUAUUUUAGUAGAGACGGGUUUUCAGCACGUUGGCCAGGCUGGUCUCAAUCUCUUGACCUUGUGAUUUGCCCACCUUGGCCUCUCAAACUGCUGGAAUUACAGGCGUGAGUCACUGCACCCAGCUGGCUAAGUUUUGUAUUUUUAGUUGAGACGGGGUUUGCCAUGUUGGCCAGGCUGGUGCAGUUUUGAUUUUAUGUUUAUUUCUACAUUCUAAAAUUAAUAUGUUUUCCCCACUUCACUGCACACCUGCUUCCACUGUGUCACUCGCACCUGCCACAGAGGCCGACACGCAAGCGCUUGUACAUUCGGUGGAGAUGGGAAAGAACGUGGCCUGCAAACGCAGAGCUGUGACCCCCAAAUAACACUGUUCCUCUCCUCCUCUCCCUUCCUGUGAGGGGAAAGACCCACUUAGCCCUGAGCCCCAUCUCUCAGCAUCUGGGUCUGAAAGAGGCAGCCAGUCCCUGUGAGCCCCAAAGCCCUGACCUCAGAGCUGCAGGAGAGAGCUGGGAGCUGCGAGGUGGGAGCUGGGAGCUGGGAGCUGCGAGGUGGGAGCUGGGAGGUGGAAACUGGGAGGAGGGAGGCGGGAGCUGGGAGCUGGCAGGUGGGAGGCAGGAGCUGGGAGCUGGGAGGCGGGAGCCGGGAGGUGGGAGCUGGGAGGCGGGAGGUGGGAGCUGGGAGGAGGGAGGUGGGAGCUGGGAGGUGGGAGCUGGGAGGUGGGAGGUGGGAGCUGGGAGGUGGGAGCUGGGAGGAGGGAGGCGGGAGCUGGGAGGUGGGAACUGCGAGGAAAGAGGUGGGAACUGGAAGGUGGGAGGAGGGAGCUGGGAGGUGGGAGCUGGAAGGUGGGAGGUGGGAACUGCGAGGAAAGAGGUGGGAGCUGGCAGGUGGGAACUGGGAGGUGGGAACUGCGAGGAAGGAGGUGGGAACUGGAAGGUGGGAGGUGGGAGCUGGGAGGUGGAAACUGGAAGGAGGGAGGUGGGAGCUGGGAGCUGGAAGAUGGGAGCUGGGAGGUGGGAACUGUGAGGAAAGAAGUGGGAACUAGAAGGUGGGAGGAGGAAGCUGGGAGGUGGGAACUGGGAGGAGGGAAGAGGGAGCUGGGAGGUGGGAGCUGGGAGGUGGGAACUGAGAGGAGGGAGGCGGGGUUGGAAGGUGGGAACUUGGAGGAGGGAGGCGGGAGCUGGAAGGUGGGAGCUGGGAGGAGGGAGGCAGGAGGUGGCAGGGGAGGUGAGAGGAGGGAGGCGGGAGCUGGGAGCUGGGAACUGGGAGGAGGGAGGAGACAGGGGCUGUAAGGUGGGAGGCGGGAGCUGGGAGGUAGGAGGUGGGAGCUGGGAACUGGGAGGAGGGAGGCGGUAGCUGGGAGGUGGGAGGCGGGAGCUGGGAGGUGGGAGCUAGGCGGCGGGAGGAGGGAGGUGGGAGCUGGGAACUGGGAGGAGGGAGGCAGGAGCUGGGAGGUGGGAGGCGGGAGCUGGGAGGUGGGAACUGGGAGCUGGGAGGUGGGAAUUGGAAGGAGGGAGGAGGGAGGUGAGGUGGGAGGUGGGAGGAGGGAGUUGGGAGGUGGGAGCUGGGAGGUGGGAGGUGGGAACUGGGAGGAGGGAGGCGGGAGCUGGAAGGUGGGAGGCGGGAGCUGGAAGGUGGGAGGCGGGAGGUGGCAGGUGGGAGGUGAAAGGAGGGAGGUGGGAGGUGGGAGGAGGGAGCUGGGAGCUGGGAGGUGGGAACUAGGAUGAGGGAGGCGGGAGCUGGGAGGUGGGAGCUGGGAGGUGGGAACUGGGAGGAGGGAGGCAGAAGCUGGGAGGUGGCAGCUGGGAGCUGGGAGAUGGGAGGUAGGAACUGGGAGGAGGGAGGUGGGAGGUGGGAGGAGGGAGGUGGGAGCUGGGAGGUGGGAGGUGGGAGGAGGGAGGUGGGAGCCAGGAGCCGGGAGCUGCUAGGUGGGAGCUGGGAGCUGGAAGGUUGGAGCUGGGAGGUGGGAGCUGGGAGCUGGGAACUGGGAGGAGGGAGGUGGGAGCUGGGAGGUGGGAACUGGAAGGAGGGAGGUACCUCUCUGGCCUGACGUAGGAGUAGAUUGUGUCCGAAGGAGGCAGAGGAUCAAACCCCAUCACAGACUGCGUGGUCACGUCCUUCAGAAAGGGACAUAAAACGAAGAUGCUACAGAUGCUGCCAGGGGGCCUCUACCUCUCCCAGCAGAGUCCUUCUGUCGACUCCAGCAUGGACUGGAUGCAUCUGCUGAGAGAUAGCCACAGAGUCUGACAGAAACGGCUGUGCUUUUUGUACCAACGAGCUUUGGGUGAGGGUGGGACAGUCCUUCUGCCACCAGGACACUCACGGGAGUCGAGAUGAACCUGCACGGCGUCUGCCCUGCACACCAGAGUGUGUGGUGGGGAAGGAAGGGGGUCACGUGCCGCUCAAGCCUGCCAACAUCUUCACCACGUGUCAGAAGCUCCCACUUCAGCAAAUGCAGGCUACAGGGACCCUGAGCUGCCCUCGGGUUGCACAGUGCCACGUGCUGCCACUCUACUGAGGAGAGUCAGAAGCUCACAGCCCCAGACAAAGCCAGCCAUGCCGGUCAUAAGGGCCCGCAGAGCAGCUGAAGUUAAACCAGGAGGCACUAAGCUGUCCCCAGUGGACGGUCCACGGUCCUGCGACCCUCUGACUUGCUGGUUUUCUCACUCGUUCUAUCUUAUCCCUUAACAACAGUACAAACUCCUUAGGUUUUGAGACAGAAACGGCACCUCCAGCACAGGAGGCGUCAGAGCAGGACUACACCCCACGACUACAGAGAAUCCCCCAGCAGCCGCACCACGCGCUCACAAGACCACGGAUGGAGCAGCUCACCACGGUGACGACUCAGCUUGUGCUCUGAGCCCCAAAGGAUUUCUCUCUCAAAACAACAAGCAUCCGAACCCGGGCUGCCAGGAAAGGAGGAGCCCUCUGCACUAGACCCUGCCCCUGCCGUGGCGGGGCUGGGCUGCUGAGGGAGCCCGCACCACGCACGCCUGCAUGUGGACCGCCCGGAGCAGAAGGGACGUGCAUGUGACCGGCUUACACAGAGCUCCCAUUUCAGCCUUUCUCCCUUACCGGGGGCAGGGCAGCGACGGCUUCCUUGAUCUCAGAGAGGAUCACAUGGCGGUGGAUAUUCCUGGGUGCACGCUGGUAGAGCACCUUCCGCCUAGGGCCGGGGAGAAACAAGGCACAGCAGAUAAAGCACAGCAAAUGAAAUGGUAACCGCCAUGGAGCCUCGGCCCCCACCCCCACCCAGCACGAGGCAUCUCGCUGCAUCUCUGGUGGCUGCAAAAACUGUACACUUUACUCUCGAGCAGAGGCACCAUGGCUGGUCCCUGGCCUGCGGCUGGGGAGCCUCUGGGGACCAAUCCCAGCCACAUGGCCAGUGACUCAGCCUCUUCAUCCAAAGAACAAGAACGAUGAGAGCCGUAGCCAGUGGCUUCUUGUGGGAAGUCACUGAGUUCAUCUCCAUGAAGGGACACCUGGGUGUGUCACCAUCGUCACUGCUACGGCUACAGGCACAGGCACUGGUCCCUGCUGGAAAUCGCUCUUGGAGAGCAGUACAGGGAACAAAAUGCUCCUGUCCAUGAGAAUGUCCAGUCCAGUGGGGACAGCAGACACGCGGACGGGCCCAUGACUGCCAGCGGCUGGGGGCACCAGCGCCUCUUGGGCACCCCCGGGCACACCUCAUGUCCGCGGCACACAGACUUCACUGUGGAGAUGCAAAUGGGCACCACUCCCAGGCGGUCCUGAGCCUGGCCACACCACUGCACAGAGCCACGGUGCUGAUGCACAGAACUAGCACAGGGCCAAGGGCGCAGACAAACGAGACAAGAACAGCAAGGGGAUGCCUGUCAGUUGCAGCAUAUUAGGGCAUGAGCCUCCGAAGUGUUCACACACAGGACAGGAGACUCUUUCUCGUCUCUGCCAGAUUUCUUUACUCCCAAGAUGCUGCUGUGAGAGACUCGUCAUCAUCUCACAGCUCAUGUGGAAACACUGCAAGACCCGAAGGCACCACUCCAGCCCGAGGCACCCGGGAACAGCAGCUCGGUACCCUGCGCUGAUCACCACAGCUGCCUCCCAGGAAGCCUCUGGGACACGCCAGGGGCUGUGCGCUGUCUUGUAGGCUCCACACAGGCCCCACAGCAAGGGAGGCCAAGCUGCUCACAGCCCUUCUCGCCUCCCGAAUGCGAGGCCCCCGUGUCUGGGAUGAGGGUCCCUGAGGAGGGGGCGUGGCAGGGCUUGUGUCAACCCCUAGCUCACCGGUUCUCACAGGCUUCCACGGCUGGGUCCCCGGCGUCCACUGCUUGCAGAACCUCGUGGACGUUCUCCUCCAGCCAGCUCAUGGUGGCGGGCUCUUUCCAGAGAAAGUGUGACCUCCCAAGGUACAGGUUCACCAGCUGGCUCAGGGCAGGGGGCUGGCUGGGGGAGAGCAAGGGCUCUGAGCAGAACCCCUCUUCAGACCACAGCCUGCCUCGAGGCUGGCAGAGCCCCAUGGAUGGGCAGACGGGGGGUCCAGGGAGUGCCCUGUGGCCUGGAGUGAAAGGAGGCCCCUGGGCUGCUGGCCUGAGGGCGUGGGGCUGGGGCACACAGGUAUGUGCCGUGAGCCUGUUGGGCAGGUUAUGUUCUUUAGGAAGCAGGACUGACGUCACAGAAAUGUGAAAAUGCACCCAGGGCGGGUCCAUCUGCGUGCACACAGGGCGAGCCCUGGAGGGCCAGGGGAUGACCCCAAGGCGUGCACUUUCUCCUGUGUUUGCUCCCUCUUUGUUUAUUUUGUUUUUUGAGACGGGGUCUCACCAUCACCCAGGCUGGAGUGCAGCAGCACAAACACAGCUCACUGUACCUUUGACCUCCCAGGCACAAGCCGGCCUCCCAAAAAGCUGAGAUUACAGGCAUGUGCCGCCACGCCUGGCACCCUCUUUAUAUGAGCCUCGUUUUUAAGCUGGAGGCUGCUCAGCUGUCCCACCUGGACUUUUCCACACAGAUGAGGGCUCCAGAGCCGUCCCAUGUCAAAUGACAGUCCCCGAGGCCGCCACCACAGCCCCUCCUGCUGCUGGAAGCAGGUCCCUCAGGGCCUCUCAGGAUGAGUGAAAAUGGCUCCCAGGCUCCGAACCCACAGGCACCCACAGAUGGGCACCACCAGCCACUCUUUACCUUAUUUCAGCAUUGGGUCCAAAGAAGCGGUGACUGGAAACGCUGGCGUCGGGCCGCACACUGCAAGACUCGAGCAGGGGCAGGAGGACUGCAGGGGAAGCGGAGGCUCUGUGGGGGCCCUCAGCACACACCCCAGCCACUCCUAGCCCCCAAGGCAGUAAGGGACACAGCGAGGUCCUUGUCACAGACACAGCUGUUCUAAGGUGGAGAGUCUGCAGGGCCAGCGGCUUGCUUCCGGGUGGUAUUCUGAGUUGCUGCUGCUGGCGUGCCCAGGGUCUGAGGCUGGGGGUCUCCUUCACACCAGCCCCAAGGAGGCUGCCAGGGCCCCCAUUUGCAUCCAAGGGAAGACUCACCCACCACCCUCCACACACAUGGGGUUGGGUUUUUUUUUGUUUUUCUGAGACAGGGUCUCACUCUGUUGCUCAGGCUGGAGUGCGUUGGCGAAAUCUCGGCUCACUGCAACCUCCACCUCCCAGGCUCAAGCGAUUCUCCUGCCUCAGCCUCCCGAGUAGCUGGGAUCACAGGCGCACACUACCACGCCCCGGUUAAUUUUUGUAUGUUUAGUAGAGACAGGGUUUCACCAUGCUGGCCAGGCUGGUCUUGAACUCUUGACCUCAGGUGAUCCACCUGCCUCAGCCUCCGAAAGUGCUGGGAUUACAGGCGUCCGCCACCACACCCGGCUAAUUUUUAUAUUUUUGGUAGAGAAAGGGUUUCACCGUGUUGACCAGGCUGGUCUCGAACUCCUAUGCUCAAGCGAUCCUCCUGCCUCGGCCUCCCAAAGUGCUGGGAUUACAGGCGUGAGCCACCGUGCCCGGCCGGUUGGAUGUUUUAAUCACAAAGACUGGACCCCAUGGCAGGCUGGUGGGAGCGGAGGCCACCUGUGCCCAGUGGAAGAGCCAGCACUGCAGGUUGAGGGCAGAGGCCGCCAUGUAGGGGAACGGGCCCCGAGGGCAGAGCCUGCAGUGAUCUCCAGUGUUCUGGGGUAAGUGGCAGCGGCUUCUUGGCAGCCCACCUGCCUUCAAGGGAGGUGCUGACGCUACAGCCUGUGACACAGCAGCACAGCUCUGCCACAAAGGACAGGGCCUCCCAGCCGCGUUUCCAGACACGGCUGCACUGGUGGAGCAUAUGGCCAGCUGCAUGCAGCCCCAGAGGAGGACAAAGGUGCUUCUUAGACACAGGGGACGAAACUUUUGGGGUCAGCGAGCAGACUGAGGCCUGGCCAGGCCCCUCUGGGGGGCACGUUUCUGCCUGUGCUAGAAGCUGCCCAACCCCACGCCGUGGGCCUCCUCGGGGCCCAGACAGAGCCCUGGAAACCCACAGAACCGAGAAAGGGAUGCUGCUUCCAGGACAUCCUAAUAGGCGAUGAGUGGUCACGUAAUGUGUGUAUACUAGCUGCACGCAAAUAACCCUCACCCCUCACCGCCCCUCGGAGGAGGCCCGUCUUAAGGAGGGAUUUCACCCUCACCCCUCACAGCCCCUCGGAGGAGGCCCGUCUUUUUUUUUUUUUCUUUUUUUUUGAGACGGAGUCUCGCUAUGUUGCCCAGGCUGGAGUGCAGUGGCGCGAUCUCGGCUCACUGCAAGCUCUGCCUCCUGGGUUCAUGCCAUUCUCCUGCCUCAGCCUCCCAAGUAGCUGGGACUACAGGUGCCGGCCAACACGCCCGGCUAAUUUUUUGUAUUUUUAGUAGAGACGUGGUUUCACCGUGUUAGUCAGGAUGGUCUCGAUCUCCUGACCUCGUGAUCCGCCCACCUCGGCCUCCCAAAGUGCUAGGAUUACAGGCGUGAGCCACCGCGCCCGGCCGGAGGCCCGUCUUAAGGAGGGAUUUCACCCUCACCCCUCACAGCCCCUCGGAGGAGGCCCAUCUUAAGGAGGGAUUUCACCCUCACCCCUCACAGCCCCUCGGAGGAGGCCCGUCUUAAGGAGGGAUUUCACCCUCACCCCUCACAGCCCCUCGGAGGAGGCCCGUCUUUUUUUUUUUUUUCUUUUUUUUUGAGACGGAGUCUCACUAUGUUGCCCAGGCUGGAGUGCAGUGGCGCGAUCUCGGCUCACUGCAAGCUCUGCCUCCUGGGUUCAUGCCAUUCUCCUGCCUCAGCCUCCCAAGUAGCUGGGACUACAGGUGCCCGCCAACACGCCCGGCUAAUUUUUUGUAUUUUUAGUAGAGACGUGGUUUCACCGUGUUAGUCAGGAUGGUCUCGAUCUCCUGACCUCGUGAUCCGCCCACCUCGGCCUCCCAAAGUGCUAGGAUUACAGGCGUGAGCCACCGCGCCCGGCCGGAGGCCCGUCUUAAGGAGGGAUUUCACCCUCACCCCUCACAGCCCCUCGGAGGAGGCCCAUCUUAAGGAGGGAUUUCACCCUCACCCCUCACAGCCCCUCGGAGGAGGCCCGUCUUAAGGAGGGAUUUCACCCUCACCCCUCACAGCCCCUCGGAGGAGGCCCGUCUUUUUUUUUUUUUUCUUUUUUUUUGAGACGGAGUCUCACUAUGUUGCCCAGGCUGGAGUGCAGUGGCGCGAUCUCGGCUCACUGCAAGCUCUGCCUCCUGGGUUCAUGCCAUUCUCCUGCCUCAGCCUCCCAAGUAGCUGGGACUACAGGUGCCCGCCAACACGCCCGGCUAAUUUUUUGUAUUUUUAGUAGAGACGUGGUUUCACCGUGUUAGUCAGGAUGGUCUCGAUCUCCUGACCUCGUGAUCCGCCCACCUCGGCCUCCCAAAGUGCUAGGAUUACAGGCGUGAGCCACCGCGCCCGGCCGGAGGCCCGUCUUAAGGAGGGAUUUCACCCUCACCCCUCACAGCCCCUCAGAGGAGGCUCGUCUUAAGGAGGGAUUUCACCCUCACCCCUCACAGCUCCUCGGAGGAGGCCCAUCUUAAAGAGGGAUUUCACACAUGCUGUCAGGCAGGGUCAGCCCCGAGGUCUGACCAGGUGGCAGCCUCACUGUGCCCGCCACAUGUGCGUGGAUCGAAGCUACCCAGAUGCAGUCAGGGGUCACGGCUGUGCAGGCUGAGUCCAUCUGGGCGGCACAGGCCUCCAUUCUGCAUCCCAGCAUGGUGCAGAGCACAACCCUCUCGGCCACACCUCGGCGCUGCCGAGACCUUCCCCUGCUUUGCUCUCCUCCCCAGCACUGGUACAAUCCAAUGCCCCGCACCUCCCAGCCAGUUCUGUCUCUGCACUCUAGAACACAGGCCCCACGGGGGUCGGGAUGCCUGCCACCUCCUCGUGCCUGGCUUGGCACGCAGCGGGUUCCGAGAUGAGCCGACCCUCUUUCAGGUUUGGUAGGGCAGGUUUGCAGGCCCUACCAGAGAAUGCAUGUUUCUACAAGUGUGGGGAAGGACUGGGACCUGGCCUCCACCACCAGGAAGAGCAGCCCCCACGGCUGACAGGACACACCCCUACCCCAGGCGAGACACAGCGCUCACUCACCUCCAGGGAACAUGGUGAGCGCCUGCUGUAUCAGGAGAGAGGCCUUCUGCCUGGCAGAGCUCUGCUCACACUCAGGGAGGUCUGUCUGCUGGCUCAGCAGGAAAUACGCCAGUGGAACAGAGAAGGCAAAAUUAGGGAGCUGGGACAGGUUCCGAUGAGCCUACGAGGGACGAAGAAACAGAGCGUGGAGCCUUAAGUCAUAAAGACAAAAUAUGUGAGUUUGCAGACGCUCUGACAUCACCAGUGAGCCCUACCCCGAGCAGGUAUAUUCUGCAGGCAACGCAAGGGCCUCUUCCUAACUCAGCAUAAAGAUAACUUAAAACGUCCACCUGGGGGGCUUUCCGCAUGCAGAAGAUACAGAGGACGUGGGAGGGCCUGAGAAGUAGACUGAGCCGGAGCGAGGACACCGUGGGGAGUGAGGGUCCCACCUGCCGCCCAGGCUCCUCUCUGAAGCUGAGCAGUUGGUGCUCUCAAUGUGGAAAAUUUACAGACGAGAGCAGCCCACCCCCGCGCGAGUCUGUGAGAGCAGCCCACUGCCGCGCGAGUUUCCGAGAGCAGCCCGCCACGCGAGUUUCCGAGCAGUCUACCACCGUGCCAGUUUCUCUUGCCUUUCUCAGCCUAUGUCACAUAUUGUAGACAUGUGACUCACUGCAUUUUUUUCUAUCAAAAUGGGAUCACAGACUCACAGUUUUGUGACCUUAAACACCAUCAUCAACAUUCUUCUGCAGCCCCAUUUUGGGGGACUCCCUGAGGUUUCCCUGCACCUACAUUUUUGUGAGCUCCAGGAAUUUCUAUAAACCACAUUCCUGGGGGUGAGACUUCCUGGCCAACUAUGCCAAAUGCUUAAAAAUUCAAAAUAAUUUACCCACUUUCAUUAUCCAUGAACAUGUGCUAUGAAAAAAAUUCAACACAGAAGCAGAGAAAGUCAAGAGCUGUCGCCUUCUCCCCAGCCCCAGGCCCUGCUGGAGGUUAGCGUUACAAAGCCCGUGUCCUUCCAGAUAAGUGCUGCCCCAUAGGAACAUAAUGGGAGCCCAGGUGUCAAUUUAAAUUUUCUUUUUUUUUUUUUGAGACGGAGUUUCACUCUGGUUGCCCAGACUGGAGUGCAAUGGCGCGAUCUCGGCUCACCGCAACCUCCACCUCCCAGGUUCAAGCGAUUCUCCUGCCUCAGCCUCCCGAGUAGCUGGGAUUACAGGCAUGCACCACCACGCCCAGCUAAUUUUGUAUUUUUAGUAGAGACAGGGUUUCUCCAUGUUGAGGCUGGUAUCAAACUCCUGACCUCAGGUGAUCCGCCCGCCUCGGCCUCCCAAAGUGCUGGGAUUACAGGCGUGAGCCACCAUGCCCGGCCCAAUUUAAAUUUUCUGGGAGCUGCAUUAAAGACAAAACAGGUGAGAUUAAUACGUUAUAUCUAACCCAAUACACCGAAAUUAUCAUUCCAACACGUGUCUGUGUUAGAGUUACUGGGGACAGAGCUCAAGUCUCUCCUGCUGUACUCACACUCUUCCCAUGGAACAGGACAGACGUGCUGGGGGUCCCUGUGUCAGCCCCACGCAACCAACCCUCCUUCUACCUCCCGGCUGCAUCUUCCUGAACUGCCCAUGAGGAGCUCGGGAGUUGUCGGUUUUUCAUCAUUACCAGCAUCACAGUCCUUGCAGGCACACGUGUGCAUGUGUACACACGUUUGAGCAUGUGUACACACGUAUGAGGAUUCUGACAUAAGGCUGCUGUACUGUCCCUAGGAAAACCACAUUCCACUCCGUAGAGGCGGCAAGGGAGACAAACAAGGCAGGAGGACGUGGUUCUGCCCUCAGACGAUUAUCGUUUCAUCCCCAAACGUCCCCUGAGCGCACAGAUACUGAACCAAGAAAACAGAAGGAGAAGCAGGUGUCCGUCCCUCCACGGGGCCUCACCAGGCUCGCACCCACCUCCCACUCCUGGAAGAGGCGGAUCAGGUACUCGUAGUUCCGGGCCCGCAAGGCCAGGUGGUCGAUGAGCAGCAGCAUGCAGAGGGGGUCCUCAUCCGGCUCGAGACUUCCGGAGGCAGCACAGAGAGCAGAGCAAAGGGGAACAGGGGCAUCGUCAGGCUGAGAGUGGGCCUGCAGCCAGGACAGGGAGCGUGGACGGGCUUGGCCCUGAGCAGACACUCACCUCAGGAUGAGCUUGCAGUACUCCAGCGCCGUGCGCGGGCAGCCUCGCUUCUCCAGGAAGCUCAUCUGCUUGUAGAGGGCCAGGUAGAAGCUCCUAGAUCCAAAAUAGUUCCACAUGAAUUACAACGACACAAAGGAGAAUGCUCUCUGCUCAGCGCCCCGGCCAGCACCCACUCCACCCCGCCCUCUGCUCAGCGUCCUGGCCAGUACCACCCAUUCCACCCCACACACUGCUCAGCGCCCCAGUCAACACCCGCUCCACCCCACACACUGCUCAGCGCCCCAGUCAACACCCGCUCCACCCCACACACUGCUCAGCGCCCCAGUCAGCACCCGCUCCACCCCACA
rnacentral:lncRNA from 1 species